rnacentral:rRNA from 1 species
AAAGCUGGGGGAGCAAACCGGAUUAGAUACCCGGGUAGUCCCAGCUGUAAACGAUGCAGACUCGAUGAUGCAUUGGCAUAAUAGCCAGUGCAGUGUCGCAGGGAAGCCGUUAAGUCUGCCGCCUGGGAAGUACGUACGCAAGUAUGAAACUUAAAGGAAUUGGCGGGGGAGCACCACAAGGGGUGAAGCCUGCGGUUCAAUUGGAGUCAACGCCAGAAAUCUUACCCGGAGAGACAGCAGAAUGAAGGUCAAGCUGAAGACUUUACCAGACAAGCUGAGAGGUGGUGCAUGGCCGUCGCCAGCUCGUGCCGUGAGAUGUCCUGUUAAGUCAGGUAACGAGCGAGAUCCCUGCCACUAGUUGCUAUCAUUAUUCUCAGGAAUAGUGGGGCGAAUUAGUGGGACUGCCGUUGUUAAAACGGAGGAAGGAAGGGGCUACGGCAGGUCAGUAUGCCCCGAAACUCUGGGGCCACACGCGGGCUGCAAUGGUAGUGACAAUGAGUUCCAAACUCGAAAGAGAGUGGCAAUCUCUAAACGCUACCACAGUUAUGACUGAGGGCUGUAACUCGCCCUCACGAAUAUGGAAUCCCUAGUAACCGCGUGUCAUUACCGCGCGGUGAAUACGUCCCUGCUCCUU